rnacentral:rRNA from 1 species
UCCCUAUACGGCGAGUGAAGCGGGAAGAGCUCAAAUUUGAAAUCUGGUGGCCUCAGGUCAUCCGAGUUGUAAUCUAUAGAAACGUUUUCCGUGCUGGCUCAUGUACAAGUCCCUUGGAACAGGGCGUCAUAGAGGGUGAGAAUCCCGUCCUUGACAUGAACUACCAGUGCUCUGUGAUACGUUUUCAACGAGUCGAGUUGUUUGGGAAUGCAGCUCAAAAUGGGUGGUAAAUUCCAUCUAAAGCUAAAUAUUGGCGAGAGACCGAUAGCGAACAAGUACCGUGAGGGAAAGAUGAAAAGCACUUUGGAAAGAGAGUUAAACAGUAUGUGAAAUUGUUAAAAGGGAAACGAUUGAAGUCAGUCGUGCUCUUUGGAUUCAGCCGGUUCUGCCGGUGUACUUCCAUUGAGUGGGGUCAACAUCAGUUUUAGAUCGCUGGAUAAAGGCAGGAAGAAUGUAGCACCUACCGGGUGAACUUAUAGCUUUCUGUCACAUACAGUGGUUAGGGACUGAGGAACGCAGCAUGCCUUUAUGGCCGGGAUUCGUCCACGUACAUGCUUAGGAUGUUGACAUAAUGGCUUUAAACGACCCGUC